AAUGAACGUUGCGGCCGUGGAUUAGGCAUGCAAGUCGCACGAGAAACUAAUUAGCUUGCUAAGAGGUGGACAGUGGCGCAAGGGAGAGUAACGCGUGGUUACUUGCCCUCGAGACCGGGAUAGUGUCGGGAAACUGGCAGUAAUACCGGAUAACAUCUUCGGAUCAAAUGGUGUGAUUCCGCUCGAGGAUAGGACCGCGUACUAUUAGCUUGUUGGUGAGGUAACGGCUCACCAAGGCUGCGAUGGUUACCGGGUGUGAGAGCAUGGCCCGGCUCACUGGGACUGAGACACUGCCCAGACACCUACGGGUGGCUGCAGUCGAGAAUCUUCGGCAAUGGACGAAAGUCUGACCGAGCGACGCCGCGUGCGGGAUGAAGGCCCUCGGGUUGUAAACCGCUGUCAGUAGUUAGGAAAUCCAUGAGGGUUAUCUCUCAUGGUUGACCGAUCUUCAGAGGAAGGACGGGCUAAGUUCGUG
rnacentral:rRNA from 1 species